GUGCAGCAGGCGAGAAACCUCCGCAAUGCUCGAAAGAGCGACGGGGGGACUCCAAGUGCCUACGCUCAGCGUAGGCUGUUCCCGAGCCUAAAAAGCUCGGGGAGUAAGGGCUGGGUAAGACGGGUGCCAGCCGCCGCGGUAAUACCCGCAGCCCGAGUGGUGGCCGCUAUUAUUGGGCCUAAAGCGUCCGUAGCCGGCUCGGUAAAUGCCUGGGUAAAUCGUCUGGCCCAACCAGACGAAUUCCGGGUAGACUGCCGGGCUAGGGGACCGGAGGAGGGAGAGGGGUACUCCAGGGGGUAGGGGUGAAAUCAGCAAGGUGAGUUGCUGAUGUAACUUGCCUUGCAAGUCACAAUCCUGUAAUCCCGUGGAGGACCACCGGUGGCGAAGGCGCUCUCCGUAGGACGGGUCCGACGGUGAGGGACGAAAGGCCAGGGGAG
rnacentral:rRNA from 1 species